rnacentral:rRNA from 1 species
GAUGAACGCUGGCGGCGUGCCUAAUACAUGCAAGUCGAGCGAACAGACGAGGAGCUUGCUCCUCUGACGUUAGCGGCGGACGGGUGAGUAACACGUGGAUAACCUACCUAUAAGACUGGGAUAACUUCGGGAAACCGGAGCUAAUACCGGAUAAUAUAUUGAACCGCAUGGUUCAAUAGUGAAAGACGGUUUUGCUGUCACUUAUAGAUGGAUCCGCGCCGCAUUAGCUAGUUGGUAAGGUAACGGCUUACCAAGGCAACGAUGCGUAGACGACCUGAGAGGGUGAUCGGCCACACUGGAACUGAGACACGGUCCAGACUACUACGGGAGGCAGCAGUAGGGAAUCUUCCGCAAUGGGCGAAAGCCUGACGGAGCAACGCCGCGUGAGUGAUGAAGGUCUUCGGAUCGUAAAACUCUGUUAUUAGGGAAGAACAAAUGUGUAAGUAACUAUGCACGUCUUGACGGUACCUAAUCAGAAAGCCACGGCUAACUACGUG